rnacentral:rRNA from 1 species
GACGAACGCUGGCGGCGUACUUAACACAUGCAAGUCGAACGGAAAGGCCCUGCUUUUGUGGGGUGCUCGAGUGGCGAACGGGUGAGUAACACGUGAGUAACCUGCCCUUGACUUUGGGAUAACUUCAGGAAACUGGGGCUAAUACCGGAUAGGAGCUCCUGCUGCAUGGUGGGGGUUGGAAAGUUUCGGCGGUUGGGGAUGGACUCGCGGCUUAUCAGCUUGUUGGUGGGGUAGUGGCUUACCAAGGCUUUGACGGGUAGCCGGCCUGAGAGGGUGACCGGCCACAUAGGGACUGAGAUAAGGCCCAGACUCCUACGGGAGGCAGCAGGGGGGAAGAUUGCACAAUGGGCGGAAGCCUGAUGCAGCAACGCCGCGUGCGGGAUGACGGCCUUCGGGUUGUAAACCGCUUUCGCCUGUGACGAAGCGUGAGUGACGGUAAUGGGUAAAGAAGCACCGGCUAACUACGUG